GAUGAAGAACGUAGCGAAAUGCGAUACGUAAUGUGAAUUGCAGAAUUCAGUGAAUCAUCGAGUCUUUGAACGCACAUUGCGCCCCCUGGUAUUCCGGGGGGCAUGCCUGUCCGAGCGUCAUUGCUGCCCUCAAGCACGGCUUGUGUGUUGGGCCUCCGUCCUGCUCCCGGGGGACGGGCCCGAAAGGCAGCGGCGGCACCGCGUCCGGUCCUCGAGCGUAUGGGGCUUCGUCACCCGCUCUUGUAGGCCCGGCCGGCGCUUGCCGACACAUCAAUCUUUUUUCCAGGUUGACCUCGGAUCAGGUAGGGAUACCCGCUGAACUUAAGCAUAUCAAUAAGCGGAGGA
rnacentral:misc_RNA from 1 species